UCUCCUUCAACCAGCUGAUGAAAGGUCUAGGACAGAAACCUCUUUACACCUACCUCAUUGCAGGCGGUGAUAGGUCUGUGGUGGCAUCUAGGAAGGGGACAGAAGAUAGUGCCCUGCAUGGGAUUGAAGAACUGAAGAAGGUGGCCGCUGGGAAGAAGAGGGUGAUUGUCAUUGGCAUUUCGGUGGGACUCUCUGUGAGUGUGAAGACAGCCUG